rnacentral:lncRNA from 1 species
CAACCUGUAAAUGGUGGGGAUAUCCCGACGAUUCCUCCUCGCCCCACCAAUCCGUAGAAAGAUCAAGCCGUGCGGUGACCACGAGCCCUCCACACGCACAUCCCACCCUCUCUAAUCCCACCGUACACGUGUCGCGCAUCCACACCCCCCCAAACCCUCGCCCCUCCCUCUAUAUCAUGGCCCUCCUCCCCCGCACCCUCCAUUUCCAACACACACCUCGGUCUCACUCCCCUCCCAUUUCCCCUCCCAAACCCUAGCCAUGCUUCUACGUGCCCCCUCCUCCCCCUCCUUCCCCCUCCUCUCGCGCUCGCCGGAGCUCUCCCUUCCCUCCGCCGUGGCCGCCGUGGGGCUCCCCCGCCGGAGGCNUAACUUUCAGAUUCUAGUGCAGUGCCCUUUCAACUCCCGACAACGUAAUUCAUUAUCCACGCUGCUUUAAAAUUUGAACACUAUAGUUGAUAGAUGAUAAAAUGAGGGAUAAGACCAUCUCACGUGCGUGAUCCGUAGGGUUGUCAACGAGACAAACACAAGCGAGCUACGAACAGCUUGCUUGAGAUCGAAUCAAAAGUAACCCGGAAAAGUAACCCGGGCCGGCUCGUAUGUGUUCAGCACUAUAAUAAAAAUAGUAUAUAACGACACUUUUAAAUAUCGAUACAAGUCAAAAAAAAAAAUAUUACUAUCUAAAUUACUGACACUUUUAAAAGUAUUGUUAUAUGUGGCGUCGCUAGAUAUAUAAUGACACUUUAAGUAUGUCGGUAUAACUUAAAAAAAAAUGCUGCUAAUUACCAACACUUAUUUAAGUAUUUAGCAACCGCCGGAAUCCUACCUCACCGACUGCAGCACGGAGGAGGAGGAGAGCGAGGGGCUCUUCGUUUAGAAUUUCAGUGGAUUAAGUGAGGGGAGAAGGAAAGAUAGUGAUCGAUUUUUUUUUUUUUUUCUUUUCUAUUUGUAAUCGGAACGAAUGGGCUGGGUGGGGUGGGUUGAGUAGAGUAACAUUUUAUUUUUGGUUGAAUUAGGCUUUAUGAAUACGAAGGCUCCAAUACUCAUAAUAGUAUAGAAGCCAUGG